CGGGGGGAGGGGGGAUCACUCAGCCUGGAUUGCAAGAGGGCGCAGGCCAGGCCAAGGGAUCCCACUGGUGCAUG
rnacentral:pre_miRNA from 1 species